UCAGUCUGAAGGCCUCAGGGUGCCCGUCCGCAAGGCCGGGAGAAUUGGGAAGCCGGUGCAAGACCGGCGCUGCCCCCGCAACGGUCAGCAAUGAGGGACGGCAAGGCCACUGGACCCCGGGGUUCGGGAAGGCGCUGCGCCCGGGUGCGAAAGCACGCAUUGCAAGCCCGGAAACCAGCCCUGUGACCGCCGGGCCC
rnacentral:ncRNA from 2 species